GUCUAUGGCCAUGCUACCCUGAACAAGCCCUAUCCUUUCUGAUCUCAGAAGCUAAGCAGGGUCAGGCCUGGUUAGUACUUGGAUGGGGAAACCACCUAGGAAAACCAGGUGCUGUAGGCA
rnacentral:rRNA from 1 species